GCUUUAUAAGAGGUCCAGCCUGCCCAGUGAAUUUUAACGGCCGCGGUAUCCUAACCGCGCGAAGGUAGCAUAAUCACUUGUUCUUUAAAUGGGGACUCGUAUCAACGGCAUCACGAGGGUUUUACUGUCUCCUCUUUUUGAUCAGUGAAAUUGAUCUUCCCGUGAAGAAGCGGGAAUAUUUUUAUAAGACGAGAAGACCCCAUGGAGCUUUAAACCAAAUAACAACUUAACUACUUAUCCCACAAUAAAUUUAAGCCCUGUUAUAAGGUUUUUGGUUGGGGUGACCGCGGAGUAAAGCACAUCCUCCACGACGGAAAGAACAUAAUCUUUAUUUAAGAACCACACUUCUAGAAAUUAGUAUACUAACGUUUACUGACCCGACAAUCGAUCAACGGACCAAGUUACCCUGGGGAUAACAGCGCAAUCUACUUCAAGAGCUCAUAUCGACAAGUAGGCUUACGACCUCGAUGUUGGAUCAGGGUAUCCCGGUGGUGCAGCCGCUACCGAAGGUUCGUUUGUUCAACGAUUAAAACCCUACGUGAUCUGUUU
rnacentral:rRNA from 1 species